rnacentral:rRNA from 1 species
AACGAACGCUGGCGGCAUGCCUAACACAUGCAAGUCGAACGAGACCUUCGGGUCUAGGGGCGCACGGGUGCGUAACGCGUUGGAACCUGCCCUUAGGUUCGUAAUAACUCAGAGAACUUUGAGCUAAUACCGGUUAAUGUCCUUGGUCCAAAGAUUUAGCGCCAUUAGAUGGGCGCGCGUUGGAUUGUCUAGUUGGGGGGGUAAAGGCCUACCAAGGCGACGAUGCAUACCUGGUCUGAGAGGAUGGUCAGCUACACGGGGACUGAGACACGGCCCAGACUCGUACGGGAGGCAGCAGUGGGGAAUAUUGGACAGCGGGCGAGAGCCUGGUCAAGCAAUGCCGCGUGAGUUAUGAAGGCCUUAGGGUUGUAAAGCUCUUUUAACCGGGAUGAUAAUGACAGUAUCGGGAGAAUAAGCUCCGGCUAACUCCGUG